GGGGCCGUAGCUCAGUUGGUAGAGCGCUACGUUCGCAAUGUAGAGGUCAGGGGUUCGACUCCCCUCGGCUCCACCA
rnacentral:tRNA from 1 species